ACACAGAGGGGAGUGGAAGGAGUUGCUGUUUCUUGGGGUCAUUUUCAAGAUACCGGUGGGGAUUUCUGACACUGACAGAAAUCUUAACAUGGCGGGUUCCUCUUUAAAACAUUGCUGUUUCCUAUCAAGAGACCUAAUUUCUUCAAAGACUUUCAUCAUGAACUAUUGAGAUACUGGACUCAAAUCGAAACUGAGACUGAGAGCAGAAAUAUCUUCUCCAAAAGUCACUCAAGUAGCCCAUAGAGUUGAAAUUCAACCCCAGGUCUCCUAAAUUCAAAUAGUGUUUUUGAUUCAACAUUGCACUGAACUGAAUUAAAAGGCAUCACAGGUAAUAAAAAUAGCAGUACAACCUU